AUGUUUGUUGAAAAUCAAUUGCCUCUGUAUGUGUGGGUUUAUUUCUGGAAUAUUCUGUCCUGUGGACCUAUGUGGUCUGCUUAUAGGAUCAUCGAAAAAGCAAGAAAGUUCCAGAAAAACAUCUAUUUCUGCUUUAUUGACUAUGCCAAAGCCUUUGAUUGUGUGGAUUACAAUCAACUGUGGAAAAUUCUGAAAGAGAUAGGAAUAACAGACCACCUGACCUGCCUCUUGAGAAACCUGUAUGCAGGUCAGGAAGCAACAGUUAGAACUGGACAUGGAACAACAGACUGGUUCCAAACAGGAAAAGGAGUGUGUCAAGGCUGUAUAUUAUCACCCUGCUUAUUUAACUUAUAUGCAGAGUACAUCAUGAGAAACGCUGGGCUGGAAGAAACACAAGCUGGAAUCAAGAUUGCCGGGAGAAAUAUCAAUAACCUCAGAUAUGCAGAUGACACCACCCUUAUGGCAGGAAGUGAAGAAGCACUAAAGAGUCUCUUGAUGAAAGUGAAAGAGGAGAGUGAAAAAGUUGGCUUAGAGCUCAACAUUCAGAAAACUAAGAUCAUGUCAUCCGGUCUCAUCACUUCAUGGGAAGUAGAUGGGGAAACAGUGGCUGACUUUAUUUUUCUGGACUCUAAAAUCACUGCAGAUGGUGAUUGCAGCCAUGAAAUUAAAACACGCUUACUCCUUGGAAGGAAAGUUAUGACCAACCUAGACAGCAUAUUGAAAAGCAGAGACAUUACUUUGUCGACAAAGGUCCAUCUAGUCAAGGCUGUGGUUUUUCCAGUGGUCAUGUGUGGAUGUGAGAGUUGGACUAUAAAGAAAGCUGAGCACCGAAGAACUGAUGCUUUUGAACUGUGGUGUUGGAGAAGACUCUUGAGAGUCCCUUGGACUGCAAGGAGAUUCAACCAGUCCAUCCUAAAGGAGACCAGUCCUGGGUGUUCAUUGGAAGGACUGAUGUUGAAGCUAAAACUCCAAUACUUUGGCCAGCUGAUGCGAAGAGCUGACUCAUUUGAAAAGACCCUGAUGUUGGGAAAGAUUGAAGGCAGGAGGAGAAGGGGACAACGGAGGAUGAGACGGUUAGAUGGCAUCACCGACUCAAUGGACAUGAAUUUGGGUAAACACCAGGAGUUGGUCAUGGACAGGGAGGCCUGGCAUGCUGCGGUUCUUGGGAUCGCAAAGAGUUGGACACAACUGAAUGACUGCUGA
rnacentral:lncRNA from 1 species